GGGUGGAUCGUAUAGGGGUUAUUAUUCAAGAUUUCCAUUCUUGAGACGCGUGUUCGAGUCACGCUUCACUCA
rnacentral:tRNA from 1 species